CUCCACUCUAAGAUUGACCUCCACUCAACAAACAUAUGCUGGCCUUAACCAAAACCAACUGGAAGACGAGAUGUGCCAGUUUUCCUGCUUUCCUUGCAGGCAUGCAGACGACCAGAGGAACAGCUUGCAGACUCCAUAUCCCAAUCAGUGGCUUCAGCAGUGUGAAUCUUUUCAGGAGCCACAAAAGCCUGAAAAUCAAAGGACCCUGCAAAGGCCACAAGAUUCACCUGCAGCUGUCCAGGUACCUCCAAUAAAAUCCAAUUCAUGGACCCUGCGAAGGCCACAAAAUAAUGGGAGCUGCCACGAGACGCCUGCAUCAAGAGUUGGUGACAUUCCCCCAGAAACAAGAACAAGAAACAAGGACAUUCAUUCACCAGAAGGCCACUUCACAGAAGACAGUUCACCAAGUGGGAUCUACAGCAAGACACCUGCAAGAGUUGACUGUAAGAGGCCUAGUUUCAAUGUGUUAAAUAAUUCAGAGUUACAUUUUCUGUUUCAACGUGAUUUCAAUGGAUUUUCUUUUCCUAAUGAACAUGUCUUUUUAUUUGUUAGGUACGUUCAUCACUCCAGUGACUUAACUCUGUCUACACUGUAAUUAUGCAAAUGGAUGACAGUAGAUGCUGAACUUACCUUAACUCAGUAUUUAUGUUUGGCUAGAAGCAUUUUUUUUUCUACCCAAAUCUAAGAUCCCGAUCAUCCAAAUCCAUGGCCUCAGCCAGUGCAUAAACUCCAGGAUGGCACAGAUCCUGGAGUCAUGAGGCCCUAUUUGAAACUACAAACUCAUUAAUGCAGGAAAUGCUCACCAAGCAGGAGAUGAUUCUCGAGCAGCAAACGCACAUCCUAAAAAUUCUACAUGCCAGAAAACAUGUCCCUCAAUUUGAAAUGGAUGAGGGUCUCCUGCCAGUAAGGGACCAG